rnacentral:pre_miRNA from 1 species
AUUCUACUCCCUCCGUUGCACAAUACAUGCCUUCUAUUUGUCAAAAUAUAUAUGUAUCUAGACAUGUUUUAGUAUAUAGGUACAUCCAUUUUUGGACAAAUGGAAGUCAAGUGUUUGGGAACAGAGGGAGUACACA